rnacentral:rRNA from 1 species
AAUAGAUACCCCGGUAGUCCACGCCGUAAACGGUGGGCACUAGGUGUGGGCAGCAUUCCACGUUGUCCGUGCCGUAGCUAGCGCAUUAAGUGCCCCGCCUGGGGAGUACGGCCGCAAGGCUAAAACUCAAAGGAAUUGACGGGGGGCCCGCACAAGCGGCGGAGCAUGUGGCUUAAUUCGACGCAACGCGAAGAACCUUACCAAGGCUUGACAUACACCGGAAACAUCCAGAGAUGGGUGCCCCCUUGUGGUCGGUGUACAGGUGGUGCAUGGCUGUCGUCAGCUCGUGUCGUGAGAUGUUGGGUUAAGUCCCGCAACGAGCGCAACCCUUGUCCCGUGUUGCCAGCAGGCCCUUGUGGUGCUGGGGACUCACGGGAGACCGCCGGGGUCAACUCGGAGGAAGGUGGGGACGACGUCAAGUCAUCAUGCCCCUUAUGUCUUGGGCUGCACACGUGCUACAAUGGCCGGUACAAAGAGCUGCGAUACCGUGAGGUGGAGCGAAUCGUCAAAAAAGCCGGUCUCAGUUCGGAUUGGGGU